UACGAAGGGGGCUAGCGUUGUUCGGAAUUACUGGGCGUAAAGCGCGCGCAGGCGGUCCUUUAAGUCGGGGGUGAAAGCCCAGAGCUCAACUCUGGAACUGCCUUCGAAACUAGAGGACUUGGGUACGGGAGAGGUGAGUGGAAUUCCGAGUGUAGAGGUGAAAUUCGUAGAUAUUCGGAAGAACACCAGUGGCGAAGGCGGCCUGCUGGGCAGUAGCCGAAAGGCUUGAAAGCUGACGCUGAGGCGCGACAGCGUGGGGAGCAAACAGG
rnacentral:rRNA from 1 species